rnacentral:rRNA from 1 species
AAUCAACGCUGGCGGCGUGCCUCAGACAUGCAAGUCGAACGAUUAAACUUCCCUUCGGGGAAGAUAUACAGUGGCGCACGGGUGAGUAACACGUCGGUAAUGUACCUUUGGGUGGGGAAUAACUUAGGGAAACUUAAGCUAAUACCGCAUAAUGCAGCGGCUCCUUCGGGAGACAGUUGUUAAAGAUUUAUCGCCUAAAGAGCAGCCUGCGGCAGAUUAGCUAGUUGGUAAGGUAACGGCUUACCAAGGCUACGAUCUGUAUCCGACCUGAGAGGGUGGUCGGACACACUGACACUGAAUAACGGGUCAGACUCCUACGGGAGGCAGCAGUCGGGAAUUUUGGGCAAUGGGCGAAAGCCUGACCCAGCAACGCCGCGUGAAGGAUGAAGUCUUUCGCGAUGUAAACUUCGUAAGAAUAGGAAGAAUAAAUGACGGUACUAUUUGUAAGGUCCGGCUAACUACGUG